AUGACCUACAAUGGUCCUUCAUGUUUUAAAAAAUAAUCACUCGUAGUCCUUUUAGGACGUCUCGUGGUCAUUUUAAACUCGGGUUUUUUUAAGAAUUAGGAUCAUGGGUGGUUAUUUUUUAAAACAUGGAGGACCAUUGUAGGUCAUUUAAAACACGGAUGACCACAGCUGGUAAAUUGCUAAUACUCGGAGGACCAUUGGAGGUAUUAACUCGUACAUUAUUUAUUGUCCUAAAGUGAAGUGAUAUCUGCAUA